GAUCAUGGCUCAGGAUGAACGCUGGCGGCGUGCUUAACACAUGCAAGUCGAACGGAGUAAUACAAGGUCUUCGGACCGAAUGUACUUAGUGGCGGACGGGUGAGUAACGCGUGGGUGACCUACCCAUAAGAGGGGGAUAACAGUUGGAAACGACUGCUAAUACCGCAUAAGCUGAGCAAUCAGUAAAGGAGGCCUCUGAAAAUGCUUCCGCUUAUGGAUGGGCCCGCGUCUGAUUAGCUGGUUGGUGGGGUAAAGGCCUACCAAGGCGACGAUCAGUAGCCGGCCUGAGAGGGUGAACGGCCACACUGGGACUGAGACACGGCCCAGACUCCUACGGGAGGCAGCAGUGGGGAAUAUUGCGCAAUGGGGGAAACCCUGACGCAGCGACGCCGCGUGAGCGAAGAAGGCCUUAGGGUCGUAAAGCUCUGUUUUAAGGGACGAAUGUCGCGGGUAAUAAUACGAUCUGCGAAUGACGGUACCUUAAGAGGAAGCCCCGGCUAACUACGUGCCAGCCGCAGC
rnacentral:rRNA from 1 species